rnacentral:snoRNA from 1 species
UAGAUCAAUUACGACCAGUGUUGAUGUAUGAGUCAUAUAUAUGUGUGCCUGGAAGAUGGUCCA